GAUGAAGAACGUAGUGAAAUGCGAUACGUAAUGUGAAUUGCAGAAUUCAGUGAAUCAUCGAAUCUUUGAACGCAUAUUGCGCUCUUUGGUAUUCCGAAGAGCAUGCUUGUUUGAGUAUCAGUAAACACCUCAAAGACUUCAAUUUGUUUUGAAUGGUUUUGGACUUGAGCAAUCCCAACACCAGUCUUUACGAUCGGUGGAGGGUUGCUUGAAAUGCAGGUGCAGCUGGACAUUCUCCUGAGCUAAAAGCAUAUUUAUUUAGUCCCGUCAAACGGAUUAUUACUUUUGCUGCAGCUAACAUAAAGGGAGUUUGACCGUAUUGGCUGACUGAUGCAGGAUUUCACAAGGGUCGGCAACGAUUCUUGUAAAACUCGAUCUCAAAUCAAGUAAGACUACCCGCUGAACUUAAGCAUAUCAAUAAGCGGAGGA
rnacentral:misc_RNA from 1 species